ACAGGUUGCCUUCCAAAACAACAUGGACACAGAUUCCAGCUCUGCAGAAGAUGGGAAUGUGUCCCACUCCAAUCCCAAGCUGGGCCCAGAAUCACAUCCAGUCACUAAACCAGCAGAAGAUUCUGUGAUACCCUCACCAACAGACACACAGAUUGCCUUCCAAAACAACAUGGACACAGAUUCCAGCUCUGCAGAAGAUGGGAAUGUGUCCCACUCCAAUCCCAAGGUAAGAAAGUAUAGAUGAUGGCCACAGUUCAGAAGUUUGGAGAAUUCAUUAAUUUUAUCUUGACUGAUUUUCGUAACAGUUUAAAAGGCAACUCUUUCAAUGUUUGUUUGAUACUUUA